rnacentral:lncRNA from 1 species
UCGGUGAUCAUAAGAUAGCUGCACUGAUUCUGUAGAAACUCCAAAAACAGUAGCACUGCACAUGGAAACCCACAGCAGAAGUCCAGUGAGUAAAGAUAGCGACAACAUAAAAAAUAAGUCGACACAAUAGCAUUUUAUAGAAAUAAUGUUAAGUAAUCAUUGUGAUGUAGAAUUCCAACCAAAAGACAGCAGAAGAUUGAUAAUUGUAAUAAAUUAUGUUAAAGAUAGAUGCGAUCUAUAAUUCCAUUAAACCACAUUUAUGCAAUGUAACAGACCACCUCAAACUAUUAUCAUAGUUGAAUAUCCAUGUUUAAUGGCUCAGUGGAACACAAAAGUAGAAUCAAGUAAUCUAACAACAUAAAUAUCAAUGAUGCAUUGAGACAACUCUUAUGUGCCACAUAUGAAACACUUAAUCAAAUCAGAUAAAACUUCAGCACUUAAUUACAUAACUAAUCGUAGGAAGCCUCAAUUAUUGAAAAUCACAAUCACUCAUCAACUUUUCCACCAAUACACAAUUAUUAGUUUACCUGUUUGUGUGAGACUCUCAUUUCACUUGUGAGAGCCCGGGGUGGCUGCCUUGUUCGUCGAGGCAGAGGAGUCUCCAACGACGGCACAGGGAUAGUGGCGAGUCUUCAGGAAGGGGAGGCAAGGUUGAACGACGGCCCUCGCCGAGUUUUGGAGCACAGCUGCGGUUUGCUGGACCCAAGCCGACUUUACGACUGCGCUGUGUCAAACAAUUUUCGGGCUCGACAGCCUAUAGUAGCGGCAGAGAAGGCCAACUCCGUCGACUUAGUCGAUUCUCAAACAAAUAAGAAGAAACACAAUAAAGAAGAAGAAAAGUAUGCGGCGUAAAUCACUAUUAACUAAGAAAUUUAUAGCUAAAAAUCUAGGUUUUAAGUUUCCAUUAUUAAACAUCUUUCCAAAAACAAUUCUUUCUUUCUAAACUUCAGUAUAAUCAUUCUAUAUUUACAAUGGCUGUGUAGAAAUUAAAUAAGGAAACUAAAUUAAUACAUACCAUGAUUGUGUAGGAAGAAUCAUGGCAGAUCGCGGAGGGAAAACAAUUCUUUCUUUCUAAACUUCAGUAUAAUCAUUCUAUAUUUACAAUGGCUGUGUAGAAAUUAAAUAAGGAAACUAAAUUAAUACAUACCAUGAUUGUGUAGGAAGAAUCAUGGCAGAUCGCGGAGGGCGCCGGAGCCGGUGGUACGGACUGAUCGACAGCGGCGGAGCUCGGGGCGGAGGCGCGCGUUCGAGCAUCGAGAGGAACUUCGGCGAAUUCUACGAAAAACAGAAAAGAGGGGAAAUGGGAAACCCCCAAAUCUGCAGAUACAAAAAGAGGGCUUCUGUGAAUUCUUCUUCUUUCUUCCUGCGAUUGUGAGGGGCCGCAGGUUCUGGUCGGAUCAAAAGGUGGAAUCAACUAAUCCCUGUGAACAAUCGCGAUGGCAGGCGUUAGUGGAGCAGAACAACAUUAGGCCUCGAUCUCACGAAAGGCGGAUUGGUAGUCAUGCACCUGCUUUGGGGCGACAGUGGUGGACGUUACGGUGGCGACUGCACUCGACGCCGCCAUGGUUGCGGCGACAGUAUUGAGAGAAGGAGUCGGCGGUGGCGAAUCCAUGGCCGAGUGAGAGAUAGCAAGAGGUGGGGAUUGUGUGAUCAUGAGCAAGAAUGAAAAAGAUAGAUCUGAAAUUCGAUGGGAGAAAUCGAUGACUGAGAGAGAAGAAUGAAAGAGGCAUAGAUCUGAAAAUCGAUGUGGAAGAACCGAUGAAUUUGGGAGAGAAGAGAUCUGGGAGAGAACCGAUUACUCGGACAUGGAAGAAAUGAUUUCUU